rnacentral:rRNA from 1 species
UGUCGGUCCACGGCCCGGGCGGUAGCCUGUCUCGCGUGCGCCUCGCGGCGUUUCCAGCGGUUCAGACCCCCGGUCGCCCGACCGGCUGCCCGUCGGUACUCGCACGGUAUAUGGCCGCAAUAUAAUCGAAAGCUGCGUCCGGCCCGUCGCCAGCGUGGCAAGUGGUUCCCGGUGCGAGCGGAUCCGAGGCCGCCAUCGGACCUGGCCAGCUGUUUGGCCGACGGUGUCUCCUGGGACUGGCCAAUUGCGAAAUUGAACGUUACCGGUCGGCGACGCUACUGCUUUGGGUACUUUCAGGACCCGUCUUGAAACACGGACCAAGGAGUCUAACAUGCGCGCGAGUCAUUGGGAAUGACUCAAGCCCAAAGGCGAAAUGAAAGUGAAGAUCGUUGCCUCGCGCCGAUCGAGGGAGGAUGGGCCGCGCGGGGGCGCGCGCGUUCGCGCGGGCGCGCUCGACGCGGUCCCGCACUCCCGGGGCGUCUCGUUCUCCGUCAGUGAGGAGAGGCGCACCCAGAGCGCGCACGUUGGGA